ensembl:lncRNA
CAGGAGUAGUGUAGGGUGUAGUGAAGGUACUAUAACAGGAAUAGUGUAGGGUGUAGUGAAGGUACUGUAACAGGAGUAGUGUAGGGUGUAGUGAAGGUACUAUAACAGGAGUAGUGUAGGGUGUAGUGAAGGUACUGUAACAGGAGUAGUGUAGGGUGUAGUGAAGGUACUGUGACAGGAGUAGUGUAGGGUGUAGUGAAGGUACUGUAACAGGAGUAGUGUAGGGUGUAGUGAAGGUACUGUGACAGGAGUAGUGUAGGGUGUAGUGAAGGUACUGUAACAGGAGUAGUGUAGGGUGUAGUGAAGGUACUGUAACAGGAGUAGUGUAGGGUGUAGUGAAGGUACUGUAACAGGAGUAGUGUAGGGUGUAGUGAAGGUACUGUAACAGGAGUAGUGUCAGGUGUAGUGAAGGUACUUGUAACGGGAAUUUCAUAAUUCCUAUAUGUGUUCAUCAACCAAUUCAAUUAAAAUCACUCUGUCUGUUUCUAAGAAUUUGUAAGAUCCUUAUUUGCAUAAAACAGACAGAGACCAGUCUAUCAAAAGUUAGUCAAUAGCAUUUAUUCUCGGAGCG